rnacentral:rRNA from 1 species
GACGAACCGUGCGAACGUUGUUCGGAAUCACUGGCUUAAAGGGCGCGUAGGCGGGCGGCCAAGUCAGGGGUGAAAUCUUCGGCUCAACCGGAAACAGCUUCUGAUACUGGUCGUCUUGAGCGAGGUAGGGGCAUGGUGGAACUUCCGGUGGAGCGGUGAAAUGCGUAGAUAUCGGAAGGAACGCCGGUGCGAAGCGACGUGCUGGACCUCUUCUGACGCUGAGGCGCGAAAGCUAGGGGAGCAAACGGG